AGAUAGAGUCUUCCUCUGUCGCCUAGGCUGGAGUGCAAAGGUGUGAUCUCAGCGCACUGCAACCUCCACCUCCCGGGUUCAAGCGAUUCUCCUGCCUCAGCCUCUGGAGUAGCUGGGAUUACAGGUGUGCUCCACCAUGCCCGGCUAAUUUUUUAUUUUUAGUAGAGUUGGGGGUUUCACCAUAUUGGCCAGGCUGGUCUCGAACUCCUGACCUUGUGAUCCACCAGCUUCGGCCUCCCGAAGUUCUAGGAUUACAGGCAUGAGCCACCACACCUGGCUGAAUGAUGCCAUUUUUAAAGCAAAGCAUAACGGUGAUGGUGGGUGAUGGAGUGACAUCAGGAGCGCCAGAAGGAGGAAGUCAGAAAGCCCUUGGGGACAGGAAUGUCCUUGUGUUGCAAACAUUUCUGGUCAGGGAAAGAUGAAGAAAACAGAAUGAGUUUCUGAUAACAGCGUUCUCAACACUGAAUGGUUAAAAGAAGCUUUGAGGAACACCAUAUUUCAGCCCUAUGGAACAGUGAAUAAAAAGGAAAAAGCCAGUAAGACUGAUGGUUCUGUAUAAGAUGUCCACUUCUGCAUGAACUGCUGCAGACAACAAAUGAAAUGCUCUUAUUAUUCCUGUCCCACUCUUGUCUCCCUACAGCCUAACCUCAUCUUUCGCAAUCACUAUUUUCACAAUCGAGCUUUGAGAAGCUGAAAAGUCAGCAGGCUAUCUUGGCAAACCCACUAUGGUGUUCUAAAUUCUUUGUCAAAAUUAACCUUUUACAAUUUCUUGGCACUUGGAAGUAGGGGAAGAGUUCAACUGAAAGUGCAGUUUGUUCUCAUGGAGAAAAGUGAUGACACUUACCAAUUCCCCAGACCUGAGACUAAGAAAAUAUAACCUUGGCCAACAUGCAAAAAAAAAUAUAUUAAUGAGAGGAGAUACACUAAAUAUAUUUUAUUCAUCUCAGCAUAGCUUUCUCACAGGCAGUA
rnacentral:antisense_RNA from 1 species